AUUGAACGCUGGCGGCAUGCCUUACACAUGCAAGUCGAACGGUAACAGGUUAAGCUGACGAGUGGCGAACGGGUGAGUAAUACAUCGGAACGUGCCCAGUAGUGGGGGAUAGCCCGGCGAAAGCCGGAUUAAUACCGCAUACGACCUAAGGGUGAAAGGGGGGGAUCGCAAGACCUCUCGCUAUUGGAGGGGCCGGUGUCAGAUUGGGUAGUUGGUGGGGUAAAGGCCCAACAAGCCGACGAUCUGUAGCUGGUCUGCGAGGACGAUCAGCCACACUGGGACUGAGGCACGGCCCAGAGUCCUACGGGAGGCAGCAGUGGGGAAUUUUGGACAAUGGGAGCAAGCCUGAUCAGGCCAGGCCGCGUGCGGGAAGAAGGCCUUCGGUUUGUAAACCGCUUUUGUCAGGGAAGAAAUCCUUUGGGUUAAUACCUCGGGGGGAUGACGGUACCUGAAGAAUAAGCACCGGCUAACUACGUGCCAGCCGCCGCGGUAA
rnacentral:rRNA from 1 species